GCUGCUCGCUGACCUCAAACUGCAUGAAUAAAAGGCCAAGAGAAAUCGUGGUGGAAUAAGAUGCAGUGUUUUAACUAACGGUUGUAUUAAACAUAGAGAAGACCUAUGUAGUCAAGUGGAUGGACUGCAAGACAGAGACUGAGGGAGCAAGUUCCCUUCCACUGUAAGAAAUGAUCAGAGUGGACCUGCUUUACUCUGGAGGUGGUUGCUGUUAGCUAUGGAUUCACAAGAGAUGUCAAGGUGGUGGAUGACUCCUGCUGCAGCAUUUUGGCUGAUGCCAGCAGAACUUGGACAGGCA